UACGGAGGGUGCGAGCGUUGUCCGGAAUCACUGGGCGUAAAGGGCGCGUAGGCGGCCUGAUAAGUAGGGGGUGAAAUCCUGCGGCUUAACCGCAGGGCUGCCUUCUAAACUGUCAGGCUAGAGCACAGUAGAGGCAGGUGGAAUUCCCGGUGUAGCGGUGGAAUGCGUAGAGAUCGGGAAGAACAUCAGUGGCGAAGGCGAUCUUCUGGACGGAUACUGACGCUGAGGCGCGAAAGCUAGGGGAGCAAACGGG
rnacentral:rRNA from 1 species